rnacentral:rRNA from 1 species
AGGACGAACGCUGGCGGCGUGCUUAACACAUGCAAGUCGAACGAUGAAGCCUUUCGGGGUGGAUUAGUGGCGAACGGGUGAGUAACACGUGGGCAACCUGCCCUCCACUCUGGGAUAACUCCGGGAAACCGGGGCUAAUACUGGAUAUGACCUGGGAUCGCAUGGUCCUGGGUGGUAAAGUUUUUCGGUGGAGGAUGGGCCCGCGGCCUAUCAGCUUGGUUGGGUGGGGUGAUGGCCUACCAAGGCGGUGACGGGUA